UGAUGCAGGGCAGUGGGCGCUAGAGUGGAGCGGUGACUGUGGGUGUUGACUGAGUCUCUGCUCUAGUGGGGCUGAUGUGGAUGGGAUGGGAGAGGGAGGCAGGGAUGAGGGCAAGAUUUCACGCAUCAAUUGUAUUUUGUGUAGCGAUGGCUCUUGCUUGGCUUAUUUGCUGCACUUGCAGAGAAAUCAUCGGGGAGCAGCAGCAGGAGGAGAAACUAGCAGACGUGGACCUGAGCAGCCUGGACAUCCUUCUAAGCACAGAUUAACAGUCCUCAGCUUUCUGCCUUCCACGUAACUGGCUGUGAGUUUAGUACCAAGGAAAAAUAAGUCACAUGUCAGAGUCUACUGCCCUCAUGCAAUGGAAAGUGAGUGAGAGCAGCGAGCCUGUGAGCAUUGUUCAUGCCAGGCAAGAGCCGUUCAUUUGGGAGCCAAGCAGAUGCCACUGUCAGUGAGAUAAGUGUCUGUUUUGCUGAGGGUACUGUGAACAGCCCAUCUGACUCCAGGUACAGACACCCUGUUAGCUGGGGCUGGUUUGUCAGAGUUUCCUGACUAGCUGGGGAUACAAGGGAGACAAGGUCCCCAUUUUCAGGGGCUUGUCAUUGCUCUGUUCACAAGCAGUGUGUCCUCCGCAGGAGAAGGUUGGCUCCAGGAGGAUGACUCCAGAUGUUUGCAGAGGAAUCAUCCAGGAGC